AGCCCGACCACCAGCUCGGCCCGGGGGGGGCCGGAGAAGUCGCCGCCUCGCUCCGCAAGGGAGGAAGAGAAGCAGAAGAAAGUUCAGGGGCUGGAAAAGCAACGAGGUUCUCCCUCCAAAACAAAGAGUGAUUCAAGGGUUUCUGUGAUCUCCAGGAGAUCCCAGGCCCAGGAGGAGGAGGAGGAGGAGGAG